UGGGGAAUAUUGGACAAUGGGCGCAAGCCUGAUCCAGCAAUACCGCGUGCAGGAAGAAGGCCUUCGGGUUGUAAACUGCUUUUGUACGGAACGAAAAGGCUCUUUCUAAUAAAGAGGGCCCAUGACGGUACCGUAAGAAUAAGCACCGGCUAACUACGUGCCAGCAGCCGCGGUAAUACGUAGGGUGCGAGCGUUAAUCGGAAUUACUGGGCGUAAAGCGUGCGCAGGCGGUUCUAUAAGACAGAUGUGAAAUCCCCGGGCUCAACCUGGGAAUGGCAUUUGUGACUGUAGAGCUAGAGUACGGUAGAGGGGGAUGGAAUUCCGCGUGUAGCAGUGAAAUGCGUAGAUAUGCGGAGGAACACCGAUGGCGAAGGCAAUCCCCUGGACCUGUACUGACGCUCAUGCACGAAAGCGUGGGGAGCAAACAGGAUUAGAUACCCAUGUAGUCCCUGAGCGGGCUGGCAAGGCGCAU
rnacentral:rRNA from 1 species